CCCACCGGCUCCGGAGGCGGCAGCGGCGCGGCCCGAGCGAAGCGGCGGUGGGGCCACGUUGGGCGCCGGGCGGGAGCGGAGGCCGCCGCGGACCCCGCAAUCCCGCAGCCGGCGACUGGAUCCCACCUCUGCAGAGACAAAGAUGCCGGAACAUUCAGCAAACACCAGGGAAGCAGAGGACACAAGCUUGGAUGUGAAAUAGCAACACCUUCUGCACUGAAGAAUAAUAAAACAAUGUUUUUAAUUACAAAAGAAAAUGUGUAAGAAAAGUGUAAAAAUACGUGGGGCAAGUUUUGGGGGCCCUUUCUAAGCUAGAACACUUUAUACUGGUCUGUACAUGUGGAACUGAACAGAGAUUGCUCACUUCUAAAAUAUUCUAAGAAAUAAUCUCAAUUGUCAGUUUCCUCCUGCCCAAAUAAAAGCGGAGCUUUGUGAC